AUUUUUGGUUAAUAUUUCACAAUUGAUUUUUAUUUUUCAUCAUCAUUAAAGGCCCAGGCCAGAGAUACCCAAAGGAGAUGGGAAACUUCUGACGUCAUACUGGUUUGCCUACAAGCUCCGUCGGACAUUUUUGGCUAAGUAUGCGUGAAAAAACCGACGCUUUUGGCUAAUGUCGAAUUCCUUUCAAUUUUUUGAAUCGCCUCAAAAAAAUCGAAUUUUUGGUUUAAAAAGGAACAUGAAAACAGACCGAAUUCUUUUUGCUAUUGUAUGUGUGUCAUUUGACAACAAUUUUUACAAAAACGUCAAGCUGAAACCAAAACAAUUUCUGCAAAAUAAAACCAGAGAUUCCUUUGAUCAAUAAUUUUGUUUAUUUUCUUCGGUAAUAUAAAUUUAUUUUAAUCAGAAUCAAACGGAAAUUGCAGUUAUUAUUAAGAUCUGAGUGGAGAUGAAGUAGAAGGUUAAUUAUUUUGGCCGUAUGCUGAUGCUUUGCAGAGAUACAAGUUUCUUGAAGACAAUCACGGGAAGAAAAGUCACAGUAAAUUGACUUUUUCACAAAAAGUAUGCCAGGCGAAUUUUUUUUUCUAUGGAACAUGAUUUUCAGAAAAAAUUCGCUUUAAGAUCGCCGAAAAUUCGAUUUUACCAGUCAAAGGAAUUCGGCAUAAGUAUGCGUGAAAAAUCAUACAUUUUUGGAUAAGUGUGAGUAAAAACACCGUGACUACACUAUGUGUGUUUUUCACAUUUAUUCACGAAUACAAAAGAGAUUACAACAACACGAAAUAAACAAAUGGGUUUUGGGGGGUAUAACGUACGAAAGUUUCCCAACUCCUUUGGGUAUCUCUGGCCCAUGGUAUAAAAAGAGAAGGUAUGAUCAUUAGAAAAAACUCAGUAUCGAGCACUGUCAAAACUUAUGGCUACUUAAGGUUUUGACAGCCCAGCCCAUUGAAAUUGUUGCUGUAAACAAAUUUGUCUUGGAAAUUAUUGUUGCUUUUGACUUUGCCCUUCAAGCAAGAACAUACUUGCAACUUUUUGUGUAUGAACACAAAAGUCGAACGAGAAUUGUGGUGAAAAAUGAGAAAAGGAAAAGAAAGACAAGGCCAACAAGAGCCAAAGCGUCAUUUUGUUAUUUUUUGUUGAAGUUUUUGGUCGCGUCGUGUCUUGUGUCGUUGUUUGUCAAAUUCUUGAAGUCAAAGAUAAAGUACAUAAUAUUGCUCCAUGGGAAUCGACGGCAGAAAUGUCAAACAUAUUCGAUACUCGCCCUUCAAGCAAGAAAACGGAGUCCAGAAAAGACAGUCCGACCUCCGACCGAGAAAAGCGGGGUUGCACUCACACACUUGCAACUUUUUGUGUAUGAACACAAAGUCUAAGAGAAUCGUGGUGAAAACUGAGAAAAGGAAAAAAAAGUAGACAGACAUAGCCAACAAGAGCAAAAGCGUCAUUUUGUUAUUUUUUGUUGAAGUGUUUAGUCGCGUCGUGUCUCGUGUCGUUGUUAAUAAAAUAUGAGUAUAAUUAUAAACAAUUAUAUCAAACUAUUAACAAUAUGGAAACAAAAAAAGAUGUAAUCUCUAAUGAUGAAGAAAAAGUCAGAAGGUGAAACAUGCGAUUGGGCAUCUAAAGAAACACCAACAACAGCAGCAACAACAAAUAAAAUAAAAUAAAAAAAAUGUAUUCUAUUUUAUAUUGUAUAUACUGUAUUGUGAAAAUUUCGUUUGCCAAAAUUAAAUAAAAAAAAACAGUUUCAGUGAAAAAAAAACAAAAAUCUAGUUCUUUUUUUGGUCGCAAAUGCGAAACGUCAUCCCUUUUUUAUUCCUCUUUUGGUAGGUUUUCGCUGCUCCGACUCAGGUCCGCCUUCGGCUCCGUUUUCUCGGAAUGGAGAUUUUCACCACACUAAUACAUAUGCAAUCGACUUCGCGGUGAUUAUAAUUUCCAUACUAAUUUGAGCCGCCUUCGGACCAGUUUCUGAUCCGAAGUCGGACUCAGCUCCUCCUCAGGCGGAGCGGAUUCGGACCGAAGUCGGACCUGUUUGCUUGAAGGGCGAGUAUCGAUCGAUGUCAAAAUGCCGGACGUCAUUCGUUCCGACUUCGGCUCCGAUUUCUCGGAAUGGAGAUUUUCACCACACUAAUACAUAUGCAAUCGACAUCGCGGUGAUUAUAAUUUCCAUACUAAUUUGAGCCGCCUUCGGACCAGUUUCUGAUCCGAAGUCGAACUCAGCUCCGCCUUAGGCGGAGCGGAUUCGGACCGAGGUCGGACCUGUUUGCUUGAAGGGUGCCAAAUGCCAAAUAACAAAACCUUAUUACCCCAUUUUGUAAGAUGGCGGCUCUGAUGAUCAUACCUUGUCUUUUUAUACCAUGUCUCUGGGCCAGGCAUAUGCACGCAUGGGCUUAAGUCAAAAUGGCAUGAGUGAGUUGUCGAACAUACACAAUUCGU